AGUGAACGCUGGCGGUAGGCCUAACACAUGCAAGUCGAACGGCAACACAGUAAGAUCGUGCUCUUACGGUUGGCGAGUGGCGGACGGGUGAGGAAUACAUCGGAAUCUACUUUUUCGGGGGGGAUAACGUAGGGAAACAUACGCUAAUACCUCAUACGACCUACGGGUGAAAGCAGGGGAUCUUCGCACCUUGCGCGAUUGUAUUAGCCGAUGUCGGAUUAGCUAGUUGGCGGGGUAAAGGCCCACCAAGGCGACGAUCCGUAGCUGGUCUGAGAGGAUGAUCAGCCACACUGGAACUGAGACACGGUCCAGACUCCUACGGGAGGCAGCAGUGGGGAAUCUUGCGCAAUGGGCGCAAGCCUGAUCCAGCAAUACCGCGUGGGUGAAGAAGGCCUUCGGGUUGUAAAGCCCUUUUGUUAGGAAAGAACAACAGCAGGUUAAUCCCCCGCUGUCCUGACGGUACCCAAACAAUAAGCACCGGCUAACUUCGUG
rnacentral:rRNA from 1 species